GUAGGUGAACCUGCGGAAGGAUCAUUAACACGUAUCCACGUAUCAACAAUCUGUGAACUCAAUCUCCCUGACAUGAGAAAAGCUGUUAGUGUAGUUAGUGGUGGGUGUACAGCGUAAAAACUGUACGCAACUAUAUUAACUAGGGUUUCGAACCCAGUGCUUUCCCAUGUUAGGCCUACAUUUCCAUCACUACCCACAAACCAUUUUCACCAAUAAACUCAUCUUGACUGAUGUACUUAUGUAAGAGAAAUCUGGCAUGAGUCUUUAUCUAAACUAAGCACAACUCUUAGCAAUGGAUAUCUUGGUUCUC
rnacentral:misc_RNA from 1 species